AUUAUCAACCCUCAAGCCCAGCUUGUUGUUGGACUCGGUGAGGUCAUCCUCACCAGCCUCAAAGAUAAUGACGGUGCCUGGAGGACCCUCGGUACAAUGAGCUUUCUAAAGCACGUAUUGAAGUGGACUUCGAGGCCCGGUCUCUUUUAACUAUUUACAAGGUUGACCUCGGAUCAGGUAGGGAUACCCGCUGAACUUAA
rnacentral:misc_RNA from 1 species